rnacentral:tRNA from 1 species
GGCCCGCUAGCUCAACUCGGUAGAGCAACGGACUCUUAAUCCGUGGGUUCCAGGUUCGAGUCCUGGGCGGGUCACCA